rnacentral:rRNA from 1 species
UACGGAGGGGGCUAGCGUUGUUCGGAAUUACUGGGCGUAAAGCGCACGUAGGCGGCUUUGUAAGUUGGAGGUGAAAGCCCGGGGCUCAACUCCGGAAUUGCCUUUAAGACUGCAUCGCUAGAAUCUUGGAGAGGCGAGUGGAAUUCCGAGUGUAGAGGUGAAAUUCGUAGAUAUUCGGAAGAACACCAGUGGCGAAGGCGACUCGCUGGACAAGUAUUGACGCUGAGGUGCGAAAGCGUGGGGAGCAAACAGG